rnacentral:tRNA from 1 species
CGGAUGUAGCCAAGUGGAUCAAGGCAGUGGAUUGUGAAUCCACCAU